rnacentral:lncRNA from 1 species
GACCCGAUGCUGUCAGAGAGCGUGCAUGAAGAAGAAAGUUAAUGGUAUUUCCAUUUAUAUAAGAAGCGCCUAAGAAAUGCCUGUGACGUUCGUGAACUAGUGAUUGUGAAUUCCAAAUUUGAUGCCAACUUUAUGUGUAAAGAAGCUAACUCCUGCCAACAUCGUGGCUGAAUGAACAGCUGGGACUAUGCUUAACCCAUUCCCAGCUUAUAAAAGCCCCAUGGCAGCUGCAGUGAAGCAUCAGGUGAGUCUGAUAUGGGCUGUCUGUUCCCUCGGGGAUUUGAAUCUUGCCUGUCCUUUCCAAGUGGAGUCUUGUGCCUAAGUGCUAGAGCCCACUCCUUCCUCCCCACUGAUUCCCUUCUUUCCAUUUCUGCCAUUUCCCUUCUUCUUUUAAUAAAACUUGGACAUUUUCUG